GAUGAACGCUGGCGGCGUGCCUAAUACAUGCAAGUCGAGCGAACGGACGAGAAGCUUGCUUCUCUGAUGUUAGCGGCGGACGGGUGGGUAACACGUGGAUAACCUACCUAUAAGACUGGGAUAACUUCGGGAAACCGGAGCUAAUACCGGAUAAUAUUUUGAACCGCAUGGUUCAAAAGUGAAAGACGGUCUUGCUGUCACUUAUAGAUGGAUCCGCGCUGCAUUAGCUAGUUGGUAAGGUAACGGCUUACCAAGGCAACGAUGCAUAGCCGACCUGAGAGGGUGAUCGGCCACACUGGAACUGAGACACGGUCCAGACUCCUACGGGAGGCAGCAGUAGGGAAUCUUCCGCAAUGGGAGAAAGCCUGACGGAGCAACGCCGCGUGAGUGAUGAAGGUCUUCGGAUCGUAAAACUCUGUUAUUAGGGAAGAACAUAUGUGUAAGUAACUGUGCACAUCUUGACGGUACCUAAUCAGAAAGCCACGGCUAACUACGUG
rnacentral:rRNA from 1 species